AGAGUUUGAUCAUGGCUCAGAACGAACGCUGGCGGCGUGCCUAAUACAUGCAAGUCGAACGAGAAAGUGGCUUCGGCCAUGAGUAAAGUGGCAGACGGGUGAGUAAGACAUAGGCAACCUACCCUUAAGUUGGGGACAACCUUCCGAAAGGAGGGCUAAUACCGAAUGAGACCACAGUGACUUCGGUCACAGGGGUUAAA
rnacentral:rRNA from 1 species